CCUACGGGAGGCUGCAGUGGGGAAUAUUGGACAAUGGGCGAAAGCCUGAUCCAGCCAUGCCGCGUGUGUGAAGAAGGCCUUCGGGUUGUAAAGCACUUUCAGUGGGGAAGAAAGCCUUGGGGCUAAUACCCUCGAGGAAGGACAUCACCCACAGAAGAAGCACCGGCUAACUCCGUGUCAGCAGCCGCGGUAAUACGGAGGGUGCGAGCGUUAAUCGGAAUUACUGGGCGUAAAGCGCGCGUAGGCGGUCUGAUAAGCCGGUUGUGAAAGCCCCGGGCUCAACCUGGGAACGGCAUCCGGAACUGUCAGGCUAGAGUGCAGGAGAGGAAGGUAGAAUUCCCGGUGUAGCUGUGAAAUGCGUAGAGAUCGGGAGGAAUACCAGUGGCGAAGGCGGCCUUCUGGACUGACACUGACGCUGAGGUGCGAAAGCGUGGGUAGCAAACAGGAUUAGAUACCCCAGUAGUC
rnacentral:rRNA from 1 species